rnacentral:misc_RNA from 1 species
AAAAGUCGUAACAAGGUUUCCGUAGGUGAACCUGCGGAAGGAUCAUUAACAUAUAGGAUACCAAAGAAAACAACCACCUUGUGUGCAUUUAUUAAAAAAAUAAUUUUCUCGAAGGAAAAAUCGUUUUCUUUCUUGAAAAUAUAUUAAUCAACUCUUCUUUUUUGAACCUGAACAAAAAUUUUUGAUAUAACAAAAAUUAAACAACUUUCAACAACGGAUCUCUUGGCUCUC